rnacentral:rRNA from 1 species
UCUCUUUGUAUUAAUUAAAUAAAGAGUUGGGCCUGCUCAGUGAAUAUUUAAACAGCUGCGGUAUUUUAACUGUACUAAGGUAGCAUAAUAAUUUGCCUUAUAAAUUGAGGCUAGAAUGAAAGGUUUGACGAAGGUUUAUCUGUCUCUAGUUUAUUUAUUAGAAUUUAAUUUUUUAGUGAAAAAGCUAAAAUAGUUUAAAGGGAAGAGAAGACCCUAUUGAGCUUUAAUUUUAAUAGGUUAUAAUAAAUAUUAUAGUAAAAUAGAAAUUUUAAUUGGGGUGAUUAAGGAAUAAAAAAGUAACUUCCUUAAAAAUAAAAUUGUUAGGUUAAGUAACCAAUUGUAUUGCUUAUAUAAAGUUACCAUAGGGAUAACAGCGUAAUUUAUUUAGCAAGCUCUAAUUAAAAAAUAAGAUUGCGACCUCGAUGUUGGAUUAAAGUAACCUUAAGGUGUAGAAGCUUUAAUUGGUAAAUCUGUUCGAUUUUUAAAACUUUAC